CAAUAGCGUAUAUUAAAGUUGUUGCGGUUAAAAAGUUCGUAGUUGGAUUUCUGCUGAGAACGACCGGUCCGCCCUUUGGGUGUGUAUCUGGCUCUUUCUUGGCAUCUUCUUGGUGAACGUUGCUGCACUUGACUGUGUGGAGCGCUACCCAGGACUUUUACUUUGAGGAAAUUAGAGUGUUUCAAGCAGGCAUACGCCUUGAAUACAUUAGCAUGGAAUAAUAAGAUAGGACCUCGGUUCUAUUUUGUUGGUUUCUAGAGCUGAGGUAAUGAUUAAUAGGGAUAGUUGGGGGCAUUCGUAUUUAACUGUCAGAGGUGAAAUUCUUGGAUUCGUUAAAGACGGACUACUGCGAAAGCAUUUGCCAAGGAUGUUUUCAUUGA
rnacentral:rRNA from 1 species